UACGGAGGGUGCAAGCGUUAUCCGGAUUCACUGGGUUUAAAGGGUGCGUAGGCGGGUUGGUAAGUCCGUGGUGAAAUCUCCGAGCUUAACUCGGAAACUGCCGUGGAUACUAUCAAUCUUGAAUAUCGUGGAGGUAAGCGGAAUAUGUCAUGUAGCGGUGAAAUGCUUAGAUAUGACAUAGAACACCAAUUGCGUAGGCAGCUUACUACACGAUCAUUGGCGCUGAGGCACGAAAGCGUGGGGAGCAAACAGG
rnacentral:rRNA from 1 species